UACGGAGGGUGCAAGCGUUAUCCGGAUUUACUGGGUUUAAAGGGUGCGUAGGUGGGUAGGAAAGUCAGUGGUGAAAUCUUCGGGCUUAGCCCGGAAACUGCCAUUGAUACUAUUUAUCUUGAAUACUUUGGAGGUAAGCGGAAUAUGUCAUGUAGCGGUGAAAUGCUUAGAUAUGACAUAGAACACCAAUUGCGAAGGCAGCUUACUACACAGUUAUUGACACUGAGGCACGAAAGCGUGGGGAUCAAACAGG
rnacentral:rRNA from 1 species